rnacentral:rRNA from 1 species
UACGGAGGAUGCAAGCGUUAUCCGGAAUGAUUGGGCGUAAAGCGUCCGCAGGUGGCAAUGUAAGUCUGCUGUUAAAGAGUGAGGCUCAACCUCAUAAGAGCAGUGGAAACUACAUAGCUAGAGUGCGUUCGGGGCAAAGGGAAUUCCUGGUGUAGCGGUGAAAUGCGUAGAGAUCAGGAAGAACACCGGUGGCCAAAGCGCUUUGCUAGGCCGCAACUGACACUGAGGGACGAAAGCUAGGGGAGCGAAUGGG